AUGGCGCUAACGUCAAACAUUGUAUACAAUACAUAAUAUAUUCCCAUCACAUCAAUUAAUGGGAAAAGUACUAAAUCUUCAAAGAAGGGAAGAUCAGCUGGGAAUAAAAGCAAAAGAAGAAAUAGAUGGAACAUUUCACGCAACCACGACCUCAAAUUCGUUUAAUAAGCAAAGAUGGUGGAGAAACAAUCAAAUCAUCAAAUGAAGGCAAAAACCCUACGCCAGCCAACAGAAGUGGAGGCAAAACGUAACGAUUAAUAGGAGAGGAAAAUACCCACCUGAC